CCUACGUGAGGCAGCAGUGGGGGAUAUUGCACAAUGGGGGAAACCCUGAUGCAGCGACGCCGCGUGUGGGAAGACGGUCCUCUGGAUUGUAAACCACUGUCCCCAGGGACGAAGAUGAUGGUACCUGGGGAGGAAGCUCCGGCUAACUACGUGCCAGCAGCCGCGGUAAUACGUAGGGAGCGAGCGUUGUCCGGAAUUACUGGGUGUAAAGGGAGCGUAGGCGGGACUGCAAGUUGGGUGUCAAAUCUACCGGCUCAACCGGUAGCCGCACUCAAAACUGCAGUUCUUGAGUGAAGUAGAGGCAGGCGGAAGUCCUAGUGUAGCGGUGAAAUGCGUAGAUAUUAGGAGGAACACCAGUGGCGAAGGCGGCCUGCUGGGCUUUUACUGACGCUGAGGCUCGAAAGUGUGGGGAGCAAACAGGAUUAGAUACCCGGGUAGUC
rnacentral:rRNA from 1 species